GGCUUGUUAUCCAAAUCCCAGAAAAUUGCAACAUUGUUUUGGGGUUUUAUUGGUGCUAGAGUUGAAGUAUGGUUUAAGGAAUUCAAACCCAGUUUUGAAUCAAAAUGACAGUAUCUAAGCAAUCUGAGACAUGGGAUUAGGGUGUUUAGCUGUGUGGACUGUAUUGAAUGAAAAAUGACACGAAAUUUGAGAAACAUAGAUACAGCCACAGACCAAAACAUAC
rnacentral:misc_RNA from 1 species